rnacentral:lncRNA from 1 species
GUACUAAGAGGUCAACAGUAUGGAAGGAGCUGUGAUGUAUGGAGUGUUGGCUGUGCUAUUAUAGAAAUGGCUUGUGCAAAACCACCAUGGAAUGCAGAAAAACACUCCAAUCAUCUUGCUUUGAUAUUUAAGAUUGCUAGUGCAACUACUGCUCCAUCGAUCCCUUCACAUUUGUCUCCUGGUUUACGAGAUGUGGCUCUUCGUUGUUUAGAACUUCAACCUCAGGACAGACCUCCAUCAAGAGAGCUACUGAAGCAUCCAGUCUUUCGUACUACAUGGUAGCCAAUUAUGCAGAUCAACUACAGUAGAAACAGGAUGCUCAACAAGAGAAAAAAAACUUGUGGGGAACCACAUUGAUAUUCUACUGGCCAUGAUGCCACUGAACAGCUAUGAACGAGGCCAGUGGGGAACCCUUACCUAAGUAUGUGAUUGACAAAUCAUGAUCUGUACCUAAGCUCAGUAUGCAAAAGCCCAAACUAGUGCAGAAACUGUAAACUGUGCCUUUCAAAGAACUGGCCCUAGGUGAACAGGAAAACAAUGAAGUUUGCAUGACUAAAUUGCAGAAGCAUAAUUUUAUUUUUUUGGAGCACUUUUUCAGCAAUAUUAGCGGCUGAGGGGCUCAGGAUCUAUUUUAAUAUUUCAAUUAUUCUUCCAUUUCAUAUAGUGAUCACAAGCAGGGGGUUCUGCAAUUCCGUUCAAAUUUUUUGUCACUGGCUAUAAAAUCAGUAUCUGCCUCUUUUAGGUCAGAGUAUGCUAUGAGUAGCAAUACAUACAUAUAUUUUUAAAAGUUGAUACUUCUUUAUGACCCACAGUUGACCUUUAUUUUCUUAAAUACCAGGGCAGUUGUGGCUCAUUGUGCAUUUUACUGUUGGCCCAUUCAUUUCGUUUUUGGAAAUUAUGGUUUUGUAUUUUCAUGUUUAUUUACAUUCAUUUUUGUUUAUUCAGGGAAAGCUGAUCUUUUUUUCAAACCAGAAAAAAAA